GACGAGCGCUGGCGGCGUGCUUAACACAUGCAAGUCGAACGGUAAGGCCCUUCGGGGUACACGAGUGGCGAACGGGUGAGUAACACGUGGGUGAUCUGCCCUGCACUUCGGGAUAAGCCUGGGAAACUGGGUAUAAUACCGGAUAGGACCACUGCCUGCAUGGGUGGUGGUGGAAAGCUUUUGCGGUGUGGGAUGGGCCCGCGGCCUAUCAGCUUGUUGGUGGGGUGAUGGCCUACCAAGGCGACGACGGGUAGCCGGCCUGAGAGGGUGACCGGCCACACUGGGACUGAGAUACGGCCCAGACUCCUACGGGAGGCAGCAGUGGGGAAUAUUGCACAAUGGGCGCAAGCCUGAUGCAGCGACGCCGCGUGAGGGAUGACGGCCUUCGGGUUGUAAACCUCUUUCAGCACCGACGAAGCGCAAGUGACGGUAGGUGCAGAAGAAGGACCGGCCAACUACGUGUCAGCAGCCGCCGCAG
rnacentral:rRNA from 1 species